rnacentral:rRNA from 1 species
UACAGAGGUCUCAAGCGUUGUUCGGAUUCAUUGGGCGUAAAGGGUGCGUAGGCGGCGCGGUAAGUCGGGUGUGAAAUUUCGAGGCUUAACUUCGAAACUGCAUUCGAUACUGCCGUGCUAGAGGACUGGAGAGGAGACUGGAAUUUACGGUGUAGCGGUGAAAUGCGUAGAUAUCGUAAGGAAGACCAGUGGCGAAGGCGGGUCUCUGGACAGUUCCUGACGCUGAGGCACGAAGGCCAGGGGAGCAAACAGG